rnacentral:misc_RNA from 1 species
UUCGAGCGCCAUUUUCACCAUCGAGCCCUGCUCGGCGAUGGGUCUCGUCCUCGCGGACGUGCCAGAAACUCGUGGGCGCCGUCGUCCGGCCCUGAGCGUAGCAAGAGAAAUCCCUCGCUCGGUGGAUCGUCCGGUGGUCGCCCCGACAAACUUUUAACAAGGUUGGCCUCGGAUCAGGUGGGGAUACCCGCUGAACUUAA